rnacentral:rRNA from 1 species
AUUGAACGCUGGCGGCAGGCUUAACACAUGCAAGUCGAGCGGGGUGAUGGUGCUUGCACUAUCACUUAGCGGCGGACGGGUGAGUAAUGCUUAGGAAUCUGCCUAUUAGUGGGGGACAACAGCUCGAAAGGAAUGCCAAUACCGCAUCCGUCCUACGGGAGAAAGCAGGGGAUCACUUGUGUCCUUGUGCUAAUAGAUGAGUCUAAGUCGGAUUAGCUAGUUGGUGGGGUAAGGCCUACCAAGGCGACGAUGUGUAGCGGGUCUGAGAGGAUGAUCCGCCACACUGGGACUGAGACACGGCCCAGACUCCGACGGGAGGCAGCAGUGGGGAAUAUUGGACAAUGGGGGGAACCCUGAUCCAGCCAUGCCGCGUGUGUGAAGAAGGCCAUAUGGUUGUAAAGCACUUUAAGCGAGGAGGAGGCUCUUUUGGUUAAUACCCAAGAUGAGUGGACGUUACUCGCAGAAUAAGCACCGGCUAACUCUGUGCCAGCCGCCGCCGUAA